UACGGGGGGGGCAAGCGUUGUUCGGAAUUACUGGGCGUAAAGGGCUCGUAGGCGGCCAACUAAGUCAUACGUGAAAUCCCUCGGCUUAACCGGGGAACUGCGUCUGAUACUGGAUGGCUUGAGUUCGGGAGAGGGAUGCGGAAUUCCAGGUGUAGCGGUGAAAUGCGCAGAUAUCAGGAAGAACACCUAUGGCGAAGGCAGCUCUCUGGGACGGUACUGACGCUGAGACGCGAAAGCGUGGGGAGCGAACAGG
rnacentral:rRNA from 1 species